GAUGAACGCUGGCGGCGUGCCUAAUACAUGCAAGUCGAGCGAACGGACGAGAAGCUUACUUCUCUGAUGUUAGCGGCGGACGGGUGAGUAACACGUGGAUAACCUACCUAUAAGACUGGGAUAACUUCGGGAAACCGGAGCUAAUACCGGAUAAUAUUUUGAACCGCAUGGUUCAAAAGUGAAAGACGGUCUGGCUGUCACUUAUAGAUGGAUCCGCGCUGCAUUAGCUAGUUGGUAAGGUAACGGCUUACCAAGGCAACGAUGCAUAGCCGACCUGAGAGGGUGAUCGGCCACCCUGGAGCUUAGACACGGUCCAGACUCCUACGGGAGGCCGCAGUCGGGAAUCUUCCGCAAUGGGCGAAAGCCUGACGGAGCAACGCCGCGUGAGUGAUGACGGUCUUCGGAUCGUAAAACUCUGUUAUUAGGGAAGAACAUAUGUGUAAGUAACUGUGCACAUCUUGACGGUACCUAAUCAGAAAGCCACGGCUAACUACGUG
rnacentral:rRNA from 1 species